UACGAAGGGGGCUAGCGUUGUUCGGAAUGACUGGGCGUAAAGCGCACGUAGGCGGACAUUUAAGUCAGGGGUGAAAUCCCGGGGCUCAACCUCGGAACUGCCUUUGAUACUGGGUGUCUGGAGUGUGGAAGAGGUGAGUGGAAUUCCGAGUGUAGAGGUGAAAUUCGUAGAUAUUCGGAGGAACACCAGUGGCGAAGGCGGCUCACUGGUCCACAACUGACGCUGAGGUGCGAAAGCGUGGGGAGCAAACAGG
rnacentral:rRNA from 1 species